CCUACGGGUGGCAGCAGUGGGGAAUAUUGGACAAUGGGGGGAACCCUGAUCCAGCCAUGCCGCGUGUGUGAAGAAGGCCCUCGGGUUGUAAAGCACUUUCAGUGAGGAAGAACGCCUGGUGGUUAAUACCCAUCAGGAAAGACAUCACUCACAGAAGAAGCACCGGCUAACUCCGUGCCAGCAGCCGCGGUAAUACGGAGGGUGCGAGCGUUAAUCGGAAUUACUGGGCGUAAAGCGCGCGUAGGUGGCUUGAUAAGCCGGUUGUGAAAGCCCCGGGCUCAACCUGGGAACGGCAUCCGGAACUGUCAAGCUAGAGUGCAGGAGAGGAAGGUAGAAUUCCCGGUGUAGCGGUGAAAUGCGUAGAGAUCGGGAGGAAUACCAGUGGCGAAGGCGGCCUUCUGGACUGACACUGACACUGAGGUGCGAAAGCGUGGGUAGCAACCAGGAUUAGAUACCCUAGUAGUC
rnacentral:rRNA from 1 species